rnacentral:rRNA from 1 species
UUCAUGAAGCCGGAAUUGCUAGUAAUGGCAGGUCAGCAUACUGCCGUGAAUACGUUCCCGGGCCUUGUACACACCGCCCGUCACACCAUGAGAGUUGGGGAUACCCGAAGCCUGUGAGCUAACUUUAUAAGGAGCAGCAGUCGAAGGUAGAAUCAAUGAUUGGGGUGAAGUCGUAACAAGGUAAC